AAGUCGUAACAAGGUUUCCGUAGGUGAACCUGCGGAAGGAUCAUUAACAAAUUCAAAACUCGUGUUCGUCAAUGGAGAUGUUACUUUUUGUUUCUCUUGUAAUGUGUGGUAGUAGUAGUAUGUUGGUUUCGGCUGACGUACUAUUGGUACACACGUACAGGUGCACACACUGUGACACCCCGUUGACGGUACUAUAACACAAAAAACAUACAUCUUGAUGGACAACACCUAGUGAUUCAGCUAGCAGCAACGGAGAAACAACUUUUAACAAUGGAUCUCUUGGCUCUU
rnacentral:misc_RNA from 1 species